GGCAAAGCCAACAUUGGAACCCAAGACCAUCUGACUCUGAAACCUAGAAUGAGCUACCCUGUUGGGAACAAAGCAGUCACUGCAGAGCACCCACCGAGUAGAGUUCCCUGUGCUAUACAGGGACACGGGUUCGAUCCCUGGUCCGAGAAGAUCCCACAUGCCAUGGAGCAACUAAGCCCG